rnacentral:rRNA from 1 species
GUACACGCUGUGACUAGCAUAUCAAUAAGCGGAGGAAAAGAGGGCUGUUACCUACGCUUAGGAUGUUGAUGCGCGUGUGUGCGUGAGUCUAUACAUGACUCUGUGCAUAUCAAUAAGCGGAGGAAAAGAAACUAACAAGGAUUCCCCUAGUAACGGCGAGUGAAGCGGGAAGAGCUCAAAUUUGAAAUCUUAAAGGGUUUCCCUUUACGAAUUGUAGUUUAAAGAAGUGUUUUCUGUUGAGGUUUUGGUAAAAGUUCUUUGGAAUAGGACAUCAUAGAGGGUGAGAAUCCCGUAUUUGACCUUUACUUUCAACUUUGUGAUACACUUUCAAAGAGUCGGAUUGUUUGGGAAUGCAGUCCAAAAUGGGUGGUAAAUUUCAUCUAAAGCUAAAUAUUGGCGAGAGACCGAUAGCGAACAAGUACCGUGAGGGAAAGAUGAAAAGAACUUUGAAAAGAGAGUUAAACAGUACGUGAAAUUGUCAAAAGGGAAGCGUUUGACACCAGUGUUGUUUUUCUGAAAAUCAAUUAAAGAACUGUUUAUGCUAAGUUGUUUAGACUUUAUCAGCUAACUGUUUAGUUUUGAGCUUUUCUUUAAUGCACUUUUCAGUUAACAAGUCAACAUCAAUUUCUUUUGCUGUAAAAAAGCUUGAGGAAGGUGGCUUGAGAUUCGUCUUAAGUGUUUAUAGCCUCUUGCCUAUGCAGUCGGAGAGAUUGAGGUCUGCAGCGUAGAUCCUUCGGGGCUAAAUGCAUUUGUGCUAAGUUAUAGCAUUUUAUAGACAACUUGUUGACUAUGAUUUGUCUUGUAGCUUACUCGCUUAUGUUAUUUUACCUACGCUUAGGAUGUUGAGUCGUAGAGCACGCAG